rnacentral:rRNA from 1 species
CCUACGGGAGGCAGCAGUGGGGAAUAUUGGGCAAUGGACGCAAGUCUGACCCAGCAACGCCGCGUGAAGGAAGAAGGCUUUCGGGUUGUAAACUUCUUUUAAGGGGGAAGAGCAGAAGACGGUACCCCUUGAAUAAGCCACGGCUAACUACGUGCCAGCAGCCGCGGUAAUACGUAGGGAGCAAGCGUUGUCCGGAUUUACUGGGUGUAAAGGGUGCGUAGGCGGUCUUGCAAGUCAGACGUGAAAACCACAGGCUCAACCUGUGGACUGCGUUUGAAACUGUGGGGCUUGAGUGAAGUAGAGGUAGGCGGAAUUCCCGGUGUAGCGGUGAAAUGCGUAGAGAUCGGGAGGAACACCAGUGGCGAAGGCGGCCUACUGGGCUUUAACUGACGCUGAGGCACGAAAGCAUGGGUAGCAAACAGGAUUAGAUACCCGAGUAGUC